rnacentral:rRNA from 1 species
UGCGUAGGCGGAUUGAUAAGUCAGUGGUGAAAACCUUCAGCUUAACUGGAGACUUGCCAUUGAUACUGUUAGUCUUGAGUACGGUCAAGGUAGGCGGAAUGUGUAAUGUAGCGGUGAAAUGCUUAGAUAUUGCACAGAACACCGAUUGCGAAGGCAGCUUACUGGGCCAUUACUGACGCUGAGGCACGAAAGCGUGGGGAGCGAACAGGAUUAGAUACCCUGGUAGUCC